CAUGCAAGUCGAGCGAGAAGGGUUUUGAAGCUUGCUUUAGAACCCGGACAGCGGCGAAAGGGAGAGUAACGCGUAGUUAUGUGCCCUAGGGUCCGGAAUAGCCACGGGAAACUGUGGGUAAUGCCGGAUAACAUCCCCGAAUCAAAGGUGUGAUUCCGCCCUAGGAGCAGACUGCGUCCUACUAGCUAGUUGGUGGGGUAAUGGCCCACCAAGGCAAUGAUGGGUAGCGGGUGUGAGAGCAUGACCCGUCUCACUGGGACCGAGACACUGCCCAGACACCUACGGGUGGCUGCAGUCGAGAAUCUUCGGCAAUGGGCGAAAGCCUGACCGAGCGAUGCCGCGUGCGGGAUGAAGGCCCUCGGGUUGUAAACCGCUGUCGUAGGGGAGGAAGGUUCCGUGAAGAGCGGAAUUUGACCUAUCCUAGGAGGAAGUACGGACUAAGUUCGUGCCAGCAGCCGCGGUAACACGAACCGUACGAACGUUAUUCGGAAUUACUGGGCUUAAAGGGUUUGUAGGCGGCCUUGUAAGUCAGGUGUGAAAGCCCUCGGCUCAACCGAGGAACAGCGCUUGAUACUGCAAGGCUUGAGGGAGACAGGGGUAAGCGGAACUGAUGGUGGAGCGGUGAAAUGCGUUGAUAUCAUCAGGAACACCGGUGGCGAAAGCGGCUUACUGGGUCUCUUCUGACGCUGAGGAACGAAAGCUAGGGUAGCGAACGGGAUUAGAUACCCCGGUAGUCCUAGCUGUAAACGAUGAGCACUUAUCUGGGGAUCCUCCCAUAGGUUCCCGGAUGUAGCGAAAGUGUUAAGUGCUCCGCCUGGGGAGUAUGGUCGCAAGGCUGAAACUCAAAGAAAUUGACGGGGGCUCACACAAGCGGUGGA
rnacentral:rRNA from 1 species